CGGAGGAUCCAAGCGUUAUCCGGAAUCAUUGGGUUUAAAGGGUCCGUAGGCGGGACAAUCAGUCAGCGGUGAAAGUCUGUGGCUCAACCAUAGAAUUGCCAUUGAUACUGUUGUUCUUGAAUACUUAUGAAGUGGUUGGAAUAUGUAGUGUAGCGGUGAAAUGCAUAGAUAUUACAUAGAACACCGAUUGCGAAGGCAGAUCACUAAUAAUUUAUUGACGCUGAUGGACGAAAGCGUAGGUAGCGAACAGGAUU
rnacentral:rRNA from 1 species